AAGUUUGAGAUUUUUUCUUUUAUUUAUUUAUUUAAUUAAUUAAUUAAUUUUUUUUUUUUUCGUUUUCCGUUUACUUUUUUUUCUUUUUUUUUUCGUUUUUUUUUUCGUUUUUUUUUUUUUGAAAAAAUAUUUCGAUUGCCAUGAUGAAAUGCAAAUGCUAAAUGACCUAAAAAUGAAUGCAUGCAUGAGGUGUAAAGCGUAUGCU
rnacentral:lncRNA from 1 species